AGUGCGGGGCCCGCCGAGCUCGCGCCUACCCGGAACCGGAACCGGCGCUGGCGCUCCGGCCGGGCGCAGGCCCCGCUCCUGCCGGCGCCUCUCCCUCGUUACCUCCCCGCGAGGAGAGGGAGCGGGCUCCGUCCUCGGCCAGCCCCAGAGAGGGGCGCCCACAGCGCAGCGGCGGGCUGAAGGGCUCCUCAAGCGCCACCAGAGCGAACGCCGAGGCUGAGGCCCUGAGAGCGAGGAGAGCGAGCGAGGGUUGCUAGCACGUUGUCACCUCUCACAAUGACUGUCUUCCUCAAGUAAGGACAUAUAGAGAAUCUGCCAUCUAUGAACCAGAAAGCAAGCUCUCUCCAGGCACCGAAUCUUUGGGCACCUUGAUCUUGCACUUUCCAGACACCAGAACUACAAUAAAUUAAUUUAUGUUGUUUAUAAGCUGUCCAAUUUAUGGUAUUUUGUUAUAGCAGCGGGAUCUGACCAAUGCAGCUUCCUACAUAAGGAAAUGAGGUGUCAAUUCCUCCUUGUUCACUCUCUCGACUACCACCAUAUAAGACAUGCUUCCUCCUCUGCAAUGAUUGCAAGUUUCCUGAGGCGGCCUCAGCCAUGCAGAACUAGACACUGUGUCCUCAUGUUGUCCAGGCUGGUCUCAAACUCCUGGGCUCAAACAAUCCUCCUGCCUCAGCCUUCCAAAGUACUGGUGUGUCCGGAAUUGGUGGGUUCUUGGUCUCACUGACUUCAAGAAUGAAGCCGCGGACCCUUGCGGUGAGUGUUACAGUUCUUAAAGGCGGCGUGUCUGCAGUUUGUUCCUUCUGAUGUUCGGAUGUGUUCGGAGUUUCUUCCUUCUGGUGGGUUCGUGGUCUCCCUGGCUCAGGAGUGAAGCUGCAGACCUCCACGGUGAGUGUUACAGCUUUUAAGGCGGCGUGUCUGGAGUUCGUUCCUCCCGGUGGGUUCAUGGUCUCGCUGGCUUCAGGAGUGAAGCUGCAGACCUUCGUGGUGAGUGUUACAGCUCAUAAAGGCAGUGUGGACCCAAAGAGUGAGCAGCAGCAAGAUUUAUUGCAAAGAGUGAAAGAACAAAGCUUCCACAGUGUGGAAGGGGACCUGAGCGGGUUGCUACUGCUAGCUGGGGCAGCCUGCUUUUAUUCUCUUAUCUGGCCCCACCCACAUCUUGCUGAUUGGUACAGCUGAGUGGUCUGUUUUGACAGGGCGCUGAUUGGUGCAUUUACAAUCCCUGAGCUAAACACAAAGGUUCUCCAAGUCCCCACCAGAUUAGCAAGAUACAGAGUGUUGACACAAAGGUUCUCCAAGUCCCUACCAGAGUAGCUAGAUACAGAGUGUUGAUUGGUAUAUUCACAAACCCUGAGCUAGACACAGGGUGCUGAUUGGUGUGUUUGCAAACCUUGAGCUAGAUACAGAGUGCCGAUUUGUGUAUUUACAAUCCCUGAGCUAGACAUAAAGGUUCUCCACCUCCCCACCAGACUCAGGAGCCCAGCUGGCUUCACCCAGUGGAUCUUGCACUGGGGCUGCAGGUGGAGCUGCCUGCCAGUCUCACACCGUGUGCCCACACUCCUCAGCCCUUGGGUGGUUGAUGGGACUGGGUGCCGUGGAGCAGUGGGCCUCUGCGUCGGGGAGGCUCUGGUUGCACAAGGGCCCAUAGAGGUGGGGGGAGGCUCAGGCAUGGCGGGCUGCAGGUCAUGAGCCCUGCCCCACCAGACGGCAGCUAAGGCCCGGCGAGAAAUGGAGCGCAGUGCCGGUGGGCCGGCACUGCUGGGAAACCCAGUACACCCUCUACAGCUGCUGGCCCGGAUGCUAAGCUCCUCAUUGCCCAGGGCCGGCAGGGCCAGCCGGCUGCUCUGAGUGCGGGGCCGCCCAGCCCAUACCCACCCGGAACUUGCGCUGGCCCGCAAGCACCGCACACAGCCCUGGUUCCUGCUCGCGCCUCUCCACCGCUCGCGCCUCUCCCUCCACACUACCCUGCAAGCUGAGGGAGCCAGCUCCGGCCUCUCCCAGCCCAGGAAGGGGCUUCCACAGUGCAGCAGUGGGCUGAAGGUCUCCUCAAGCACGGCCAGAGUGGGUGCCAAGGCCGAGGAGGCACCGAAAGCGAGCCAGGGCUGUGAGGGCUGCCAGCAUGCUGUCACCUCUCACUGGGAUUAUAGCUGUGAGCCACCGUGUCGGGUCAGAAACCAUUUUUUUUUUUUUUUUUUUAAGCUGCUUUGUAUUUAAGGUUGGGGAAGUCAGUCCUCAGAUAAGAAGGAACUUAGUUGUAACAUCCUAUCAGUAUUUGAGUGAAGAACUGGGAUUAGAACCCAGGAUGUUCUUAAAUAAGGACAUUUUCUCCUUUAUUUUAUUCCCUUCACUGGCCCACUUUUUAUUCACCAUCAAGCACAUGUUCUUUAAAAGCCUGUGUUUGUAAAAGGAACAGGGUCUGCAAAUAUUUAACUUUUAUUCUUCUCUUUCAAAUCCUCCACACCUUUAUUUUGAUGUCAUAAAUAUCCAUUCCUUAACGGGUCUCUUGAUAAGAAAAAUGGGGAAAUAUUUGCUCAGCUAGACUGAUCAUCACCUAUCAUUAGGAAAUUCACAUGCAUUGACACACUACACAGUAAACUUUCCUUUUUCUUUCUUGUACACCUCACCUCAUCACACAGAAACAUACACAAUGAUUCACCAUGACCAAAACCUUGUAUGUCAACAACCAACCUAUUCAAGCAACUAAUGUCCUCCAAUGCAGUCUAAAUAUGCAAACUCUCUAAAGUUCCUUCAGGAAAUAAGAUAUAUGAAGCAGAGACAACACAAAAUAUAUAUAUAAUCAGAAUCCGAUUAUAAAACUGAACACAUAUGUUUAUGUUAGAUGUUUAAAGAUCCACUGUGUGAAAGAACAACCUGGUUUAGGGGAGCAGAAACAGAGAUGUCUUCUUCUAGGCCCCUUAUUUAACCCGUAUAUCUUUAAUUUCCAUCCCAAGAUCCUAAAAUCUCACAGCAGUCUCACAUUCUUUUAAAGUCCAACCACUGAUUUUCUGUGCUCAUCUCUGCGGUGGACUAAAUGUUUAUUUCCUCCCAGAAGUUAUAUAUUGAAAUCCUAACUGCCAUGGUAAUGAUAUUAGGAGGUGGGGUUUUGGGGAUAUGAUUAAGUCAUUAGGGCAGGGUCUUCAUGAAUGACUUUAGUGUUGUUAUAAAAGAGGCCCAAGAAAGCACCCUCACCCCUUCCACCACUGGAGGACAUAGAGAGAGGGCAUGAUCUAUGAACUAGAAAGUGGGCCUUCACCAGGCACUAGAUCUGCCAGCACCUUGAUCUGGAACUCCUUAGCAUCUGAAAUUGUGAGAAAUAAAUUUCUGUUGUUUAUAAAC